AUUGAACGCUGGCGGCAGGCUUAACACAUGCAAGUCGAGCGGGGUGAUGGUGCUUGCACUAUCACUUAGCGGCGGACGGGUGAGUAAUGCUUAGGAAUCUGCCUAUUAGUGGGGGACAACAUCUCGAAAGGGAUGCUAAUACCGCAUACGUCCUACGGGAGAAAGCAGGGGAUCACUUGUGACCUUGCGCUAAUAGAUGAGCCUAAGUCGGAUUAGCUAGUUGGUGGGGUAAAGGCCUACCAAGGCGACGAGCUGUAGCGGGUCUGAGGGGAGGAUCCGCCACACUGGGACUGAGACACGGCCCAGGCGCCUACGGGAGGCAGCAGUGGGGAAUAUUGGACAAUGGGGGGAACCCUGAUCCAGCCAUGCCGCGUGUGUGAAGAAGGCCUUAUGGUUGUAAAGCACUUUAAGCGAGGAGGAGGCUCUUUUGGUUAAUACCCAAGAUGAGUGGACGUUACUCGCAGAAUAAGCACCGGCUAACUCUGUGCCAGCCGCCGCAGUAA
rnacentral:rRNA from 1 species